GACGUAGGGAGCGAGCGUUGUCCGGAUUCAUUGGGCGUAAAGCGCGCGUAGGCGGUUUGUCAAGUCGGAUGUGAAAUCCCGAGGCUCAACCUCGUGACUGCAUCCGAUACUGCCCGACUAGAGGUAGGUAGGGGAGAUCGGAAUUCCUGGUGUAGCGGUGAAAUGCGCAGAUAUCAGGAGGAACACCGGUGGCGAAGGCGGAUCUCUGGGCCUUACCUGACGCUGAGGCGCGAAAGCUAGGGGAGCGAACAGG
rnacentral:rRNA from 1 species